CUGGGCCCUUAGAUGUGGGUGAAAACUGACUCGCUGACUCCUCCGAAUUGGGAGAGUGGCACAUGCUCCCUGAGUUUGUUCGAGGAAUCCCCGACUGUCCACCUCCUGUUGCUGAAGCUGUCAUGUCUCCUCCACCAGAGAUCGGUGACUCCCACUCUACUUGGCUUGGAGUAGUAGGGGAAAGGGGCCGUCUCUGGGCCUCCUCCGCCUGCCACCCCUGUUCCUGAUGUGACCGUUUCUUCCCCGCUGACCUCCGCAGCCAUCAUGGUAGAAAGUGAGUAGAGGGGGGAAAAGUACAGAAGGGAACCCGCCCUCCCCCUCUGUCCUCAGACGAAUUAUUCAGCGUCUGAACUCAGUGGAAACAACCCCAAAAAGUUUCUCCAAACCGCGCCGGGCUAGCCAGCUAGCGUUAGCCCACAGCUAACUUAGCUGCAGCGGGCGUUAGCUUCACCACGCAUUACCCAAUAAGACAGUCAAGCUAACGCUAGCGGGAUGGCUGGCAGCCUCAAGACACUUCAUGAGUUUGUGGUCGCUGUCUCCAUUGUUUCCCAAGUUUAAAGUUCACGCAGAAAUGCUACAGAGAGACUUAAAUCCACGGUAUGUUCUAAAAACACAGUCUCACCGGUUUUCAAUUUGAACCUCACCCUCGGCACCAGGCGGACCACUUGUCGAAAAAAUGUUUUAUUGUCACUGUUGUGUGUAAUACCCGUUCUUUCCCCAGUGUUGUUUUCUUUCCUUUUGAGUUCGGAGCCGUCUACAAUCCAGUCCAUAAACGACUCCUUGUCGUCUAGGUCCCCAGGAAGGUACUAUUUCCCAUGGUAGUAAUAAAUGGGCUUCGCAAAGUAA